rnacentral:rRNA from 1 species
CCUACGGGGGGCUGCAGUGGGGAAUAUUGGACAAUGGGGGCAACCCUGAUCCAGCCAUGCCGCGUGUGUGAAGAAGGCCCUCGGGUUGUAAAGCACUUUCAGUGAGGAAGAACGCCUGGUGGUUAAUACCCAUCAGGAAAGACAUCACUCACAGAAGAAGCACCGGCUAACUCCGUGCCAGCAGCCGCGGUAAUACGGAGGGUGCGAGCGUUAAUCGGAAUUACUGGGCGUAAAGCGCGCGUAGGUGGCUUGAUAAGCCGGUUGUGAAAGCCCCGGGCUCAACCUGGGAACGGCAUCCGGAACUGUCAAGCUAGAGUGCAGGAGAGGAAGGUAGAAUUCCCGGUGUAGCGGUGAAAUGUGUAGAGAUCGGGAGGAAUACCAGUGGCGAAGGCGGCCUUCUGGACUGAGACUGACACUGAGGUGCGAAAGCGUGGGUAGCAAACAGGAUUAGAUACCCUUGUAGUC